rnacentral:rRNA from 1 species
AAGAAGGUGAUAGACCUGUACGGGUGGCGAGAUGGUCGGUUGGUUGCUCCUAGGAGUCGGGUUGCCUGGGAUCGCAGCCCAAAGUUGGUGGUAGACCUCAUCUAAGGCUAAAUAUGGCCACGAAACCGAUAGCAAACAAGUACCGUGAGGGAAAGUUGCAAAGAACUUUGAAGAGAGAGUUCAAGAGGGCGUGAAACCGCUGAGAUUGAAACGGAUAGAGUUGACGGAACUCGGCUGCAUUCAUUCGGUCGGCCUAGCGGCCCGGUGGGAUUGCUUCCUCGAUGAGGGCAAUUCUGUCGAUAGCUGUUGGGUGCUUGAUCGGUGUAUUUGCGGCCGGUAUGCGCUGAGAGCUUUGCAGUCGCAUGUUGACGAGUACGUAGUGGACCAUUCCCUUCGGGCGUGGAACCCUCCGUGCUUUGAGGCAUGUUGGCCGUGAGGUUUUGAACGUGAGCGUCUCCGCUAUGGUGCAUCGGCUUUGCGAGCUGUUGUGGCUAUGGGAUGGUCGCAUGCGACCUUCUGUGGUUAUCGAUGGCGUGACAGGUGCGGAUGCGUUGAGACGUGCAUCUCGGUGUGAA